GGCUCAGGAGCAGGCUGUGCGCUGCCUUUGGGGCUCCAGUCCAUGCAUGAGGGCUCCUACAGCACUGUGGGCUUCUUGGGUGCCAAGAGGCAGACCGCAGGCCAUCUUGAGAAGGACUCCAUGUUCAAGUGCAGAAAGGGCCCAAUCUCGUGGAUGAACCACAUGGCCAGCUUCUGGGUGCAGGCACAGUGCCACGUCUUCCAUCACUUCGUGAUGUGCCACACCAGCACUGAAGAGACAGCCUGGAGACAGGGCAAGAGGAAGGCUGCGAAGGAUGAGGUGACCAUAAAGGAGAACAGCAAGAAGCCCCCAGCAAACAUCCACAUAUGGCCCUGGACAUCAGCCACAUUCUGAGGAACAUGUCAUGUUCUGGGAGGGCUAAGGCAUCAACCUUACCCUGUAGGAAUUCUAGUGACUAUGUUGCCACCAUCUUGGAGCUCCAUGCCCUCAUAGUGUAAUGGCACCAGCAGAUCUGCCUGUGCACAGACUUCCUGUACUACCUCACUCCUGAGGGG
rnacentral:lncRNA from 1 species